CUAGCUCAGGAACUGAGUCUGAUGCUGUAACCAGAAUGCCUACCCUUUGUGGUUGACUCCCUCCAUACCCCUACUGACCUGUCCCACUCCAGCCUCCUCACAGCACUGCGUACCGAGAUGAGCUCAAACUACAAACUUCAGAACCAGAACGAAACUCCUGUAAAGAUGGUGAAACCCGGAUAUUUCAGAUAAAUGCUAGGGGUGGUGCUCUAUCAGCAUCUCCAUUUCUACAGUCUGAACGGAGGUUGGG